CUCAGCAAAGUGGAAAUCUGGUAUAAGCGGUCAAUCAUCGCAAAAUCAUUGUUUUGUGAAAGAAUCAGUCGACCUUUCCUAACCAUUUGCAAAGCUAAAACAAGCGUGUUGAUAUAGUAUCUUGUUUUGUAGUCAGUUGGUCUCAAUAAUUAGUAAGUAAAUAAGUAAAUCGAAAACCAAUAAGUAAACCGAUGAGAGACACUUUUGAGAUUCAUAAUUGUGACAUCACGCGGUAUAUCUGAGGUGGCGUUUCUUUUAUACGAAUAAUUUUGACGUAAUGUCGAGUAAUUCAAAUCUGUGAUUCAUUAAUUAAGAGAAUUUCAAAACGAACUAGAGAUCUGAAUGAUGUAGAUUUCGAUUGAGCUGAAAUAGAUUCAUUUUCUUAUUUGCGUCGAAUAAAUGCCUAUCAAUAUGACGCAAAGACGACAUUUUCUAUAACAAAACUCGUAAUUGUUUGAAGAAAUCAGUUUUAGCGUUUAAAAUUGCUUGUGUGGAGACAAACCGCUUUUGUAUCCAAUCGGCUUUAUGGGUGUGUUAAAACGACUUUUAACGACUUAUGUUUGAACCUAAACGACUUAAGAGGAGGAGGAACCACUAGGAACCACCUGGAGCCACCUGAAGCCUAAAUACGUCAGCUGACGUCAAGGGUAAUUGCAAUUCAACACUCAUGGCAGGAGUCGACGACUGAAUUCGGUCUCAUUGCGUUUCGUGGGUGACUGGUCACGUCUAAUCCACGACGACAAGUUUUAAACCUUUCUACACCAAUAUCAUAAUGUGGCCAAUUACUCCUGAAUGGUAAGGCUCAUUACUACAGUGCUUCUGUGUGAAAUAAAUUCGAAGUACUCUAAUGGUGUAUGAAGCAGGCAGAAAAUGACAUAUACACAACUCGAGGGAAUUUCUACAAAUCAGAAAUACUACACUCGUGUAGAAAUUAUUGAAAGAAGAGGCAGCCAAAAUUACUGCUGCUGAAACAGGAACAAGAACACUGAGUAUGACAUCGAAUAACUCACUUAUGAAGAAAAGGAUUCGGGAUAAAGACAAUUAUUUCAAGAAAUCAUAUAAAUGAGGAACCUACAAGAAAAAAAUUACCCCUUAAUAUAAAUGUUAAAGAGAUCAUAAUCUUAAAAAUACUUUUAAAACUAUGUUAAUAUUGUAAAAUUUAUAGUCACGAGCUAGUGUUGUUUUAUUAGGGUCAACCAGUGCCUAUUGACCAGCAAGUUUUUAGUUUAUCAGGGUCAUAACAGUGCUUAUUGACCCCAAGUCGAGUAGAGCUCAGCUUUGCUGCUUGUAAUUUCUAAGUAGCAUCUUCAGAAGUCUAUUUCAUAAGAGCUAGUUCAGUUGUCCAGGAGAUAUGUUUUAUAAUUGAAACCUGUAACUGGUUUAAUAUUUCAAGAUAUAUUUUCCACGUUAAUUUCUUCCAAGUUUAAUGUACAGAUCAGGUAGCUUAGCUUUAUUCAGGAUGUAUAGACCUUAUUAUACCUAAAGGUCAUAUCAUCUCAUUCUUAACUGAUGAGCAUUUACCUAGAAUUUUUGUGCGUUCAUGUUCAGCAUGUUUCAGGAUCCGUAGUUCCCUUCUAAGGUUUCUUAUCACUCUAAUAUCUGCUGUUAGUUAAUUCAUUAUAUGUCAUAGUUUAUUCUGUAUUUGAAUUUAUCAAUCAGCUACUAGGCAGAUCAUUGUUUUGGCAUGUUUAUUGUUACAUUGAAUUUCCUACCAGUUUAACAAUAUGUUAUGUGGUACCUCAGCAUACAACAAAA